AGAGUUUGAUCCUGGCUCAGAACGAACGCUGGCGGCGUGGAUAAGACAUGCAAGUCGAACGGGGUGGUAGCAAUACCACUCAGUGGCGCAAGGGUGCGUAACACGUGGGCAACCUGCCCUGGAGUCUGGGAUAGCCCGCCGAAAGGCGGAUUAAUACCGGAUGUGGCUACUGGAGGAUUCUCUGGGACGCUAAAGGUGGAGCAAUCUGCCGCUCUUGGAUGGGCCCGCGGCCUAUCAGCUAGUUGGUGAGGUAACGGCUCACCAAGGCGAUGACGGGUAGCUGGUCUGAGAGGACGACCAGCCACACUGGAACUGAGACACGGUCCAGACACCUACGGGUGGCAGCAGUCGAGAAUUUUUCGCAAUGGGGGAAACCCUGACGGAGCGACGCCGCGUGGAGGAUGAGGGUCUUCGGAUUGUAAACUCCUGUCAUUGGUGAACAAGGUGCUUCCAUUAACUGUGGAGGUAAUUGCUAGUAGCCGAAGAGGAAGGGACGGCUAACUCUGUGCCAGCAGCCGCGGUAAUACAGAGGUCCCGAGCGUUGUUCGGAUUCAUUGGGCGUAAAGGGUGCGUAGGCGGCUUUCUAAGUCUGAUGUGAAAUCCUGGGGCUCAACCCUGGAACUGCAUUGGAUACUGGGAGGCUAGAGUACUGGAGAGGAAACUGGAAUUUACGGUGUAGCAGUGAAAUGCGUAGAGAUCGUAAGGAAGACCAGUGGCGAAGGCGAGUUUCUGGACAGUUACUGACGCUGAGGCACGAAGGCUAGGGGAGCAAACGGGAUUAGAUACCCCAGUAGUCC
rnacentral:rRNA from 1 species